rnacentral:rRNA from 1 species
UACGAAGGGGGCUAGCGUUGCUCGGAAUCACUGGGCGUAAAGCGCACGUAGGCGGCUUCUUAAGUCAGGGGUGAAAUCCUGGAGCUCAACUCCAGAACUGCCUUUGAUACUGAGAAGCUUGAGUCCGGGAGAGGUGAGUGGAACUGCGAGUGUAGAGGUGAAAUUCGUAGAUAUUCGCAAGAACACCAGAGGCGAAGGCGGCUCACUGGCCCGGUACUGACGCUGAGGUGCGAAAGCGUGGGGAGCAAACAGG